UACGUAGGGUGCGAGCGUUGUCCGGAAUUAUUGGGCGUAAAGGGCUCGUAGGCGGUUUGUCGCGUCGGGAGUGAAAACCAGGUGCUUAACACCUGGCUUGCUUUCGAUACGGGCAGACUAGAGUUCGGUAGGGGAGACUGGAAUUCCUGGUGUAGCGGUGAAAUGCGCAGAUAUCAGGAGGAACACCGGUGGCGAAGGCGGGUCUCUGGGCCGAUACUGACGCUGAGGAGCGAAAGCGUGGGGAGCGAACAGG
rnacentral:rRNA from 1 species